rnacentral:rRNA from 1 species
UACGGAGGGUGCAAGCGUUAUCCGGAUUUACUGGGUUUAAAGGGUGCGUAGGUGGGUAAGUAAGUCAGUGGUGAAAUCUUCAGGCUUAACCUGGAAACUGCCAUUGAUACUAUUUAUCUUGAAUACUCUGGAGGUAAGCGGAAUAUGUCAUGUAGCGGUGAAAUGCUUAGAUAUGACAUAGAACACCAAUUGCGAAGGCAGCUUACUACAUAGUUAUUGACACUGAGGCACGAAAGCGUGGGGAUCAAACAGG